GUUUGGUCACCCGACGAGGGUGCCAAGAGGGAAGCCGGUGAGAGUCCGGCGCAGUCCCGCUGCUGUAAGCUCGAGAGUUGAGGCUCAGAUGACAAGUCACUGUGCGGCGCGAUAGUCGCAUGGGAAGACGGAGCCGAUGGGAGCAAGCCAGAAGACCUGCCAAACCG
rnacentral:ncRNA from 1 species